AAUCAGCUUUAAUGUUUUAAGUUUAAAGUCUUAUUUCUAAACAAAUAUGGUAAAAUUAACAACCUUAGCUCUUCUGGUACUUAUGGUGUUAAACGCAAGUAUGGUGUUAAACGCAAGUACAUCAAGCCGUGCACCCGGUCCCAAUCUCUUCAGAAGUGAAAACUGUAUUAGAAAAGGAGACGUACAUUUAAGAGGGAAGUGCAGAAAAACACUCCAGGGUUAGGAGCUUUUUCGAGGUUUCACAUUCAAACACUAUACCGGGCAUCAAUAAAAAAUUGGACCAAUUAUACGUGUAUAAAAAAAUAUUAUAACAAUAUUAAAUGUGAAACUAAAAUA